rnacentral:rRNA from 1 species
UGAUUCGUCACACUAUCAUUAACUGAAUCCAUAGGUUAAUGAGGCGAACCGGGGGAACUGAAACAUCUAAGUACCCCGAGGAAAAGAAAUCAACCGAGAUUCCCCCAGUAGCGGCGAGCGAACGGGGAGCAGCCCAGAGCCUGAAUCAGUGUGUGUGUUAGUGGAAGCGUCUGGAAUGGCGUGCGAUACAGGGUGACAGCCCCGUACACAAAAAUGCACAUACUGUGAGCUCGAUGAGUAGGGCGGGACACGUGGUAUCCUGUCUGAAUAUGGGGGGACCAUCCUCCAAGGCUAAAUACUCCUGACUGACCGAUAGUGAACCAGUACCGUGAGGGAAAGGCGAAAAGAACCCC